ACCGAUUUUAUUUUUCGAGUUAAGCCAGUCGCAAACGCGCUAAUGGACAAAGAAAUUCGUAUGGUAUUAUAGGUACAUCAACAUCUAAGAAAAGUUAUUUUAUGAAUUCUCACGUGCGUUAGUAAAAUAUGGUUGUAAAUAAACGGUCGUAAAGAAACCGCGUGUUUUAUAAUUGAAUUACAAAACGCCAUCUUCACUGUCCUGCUAACGCACAAAAAGGCGACCAUCGUGCA